UACAGAGGUGGCAAGCGUUGUUCGGAAUUACUGGGCGUAAAGGGCGCGUAGGCGGUCUUGCAAGUCCUGUGUGAAAUCCCUCGGCUCAACUGAGGAACUGCACAGGAAACUGCUUGGCUUGAGUUCGGGAGAGGGAAGCGGAAUUCCGGGUGUAGCGGUGAAAUGCGUAGAUAUCGGGAAGAACACCGGUGGCGAAGGCGGCUCGCUGGGCCGUUGCUGACGCUGAGGCGCGAAAGCGUGGGGAGCAAACAGG
rnacentral:rRNA from 1 species